rnacentral:rRNA from 1 species
AUGAACGCUGGCGGCGUGCCUCAUACAUGCAAGUCGAGCGAACAGAUAAGGAGCUUGCUCCUUUGACGUUAGCGGCGGACGGGUGAGUAACACGUGGGUAACCUACCUAUAAGACUGGGAUAACUUCGGGAAACCGGAGCUAAUACCGGAUAACAUUUGGAACCGCAUGGUUCUAAAGUGAAAGAUGGUUUUGCUAUCACUUAUAGAUGGACCCGCGCCGUAUUAGCUAGUUGGUAAGGUAACGGCUUACCAAGGCGACGAUACGUAGCCGACCUGAGAGGGUGAUCGGCCACACUGGAACUGAGACACGUUCCAGACUCCUACGGGAGGCAGCAGUAGGGAAUCUUCCGCAAUGGGCGAAAGCCUGACGGAGCAACGCCGCGUGAGUGAUGAAGGGUUUCGGCUCGUAAAACUCUGUUAUUAGGGAAGAACAAACGUGUAAGUAACUGUGCACGUCUUGACGGUACCUAAUCAGAAAGCCACGGCUAACUACGUG